rnacentral:rRNA from 1 species
GACGAACGCUGGCGGCGUGCUUAACACAUGCAAGUCGAACGGAAAGGCCCCUUUGGUGGUACUCGAGUGGCGAACGGGUGAGUAACACGUGAGUAACCUGCCCUUGACUUCGGGAUAACUUCAGGAAACUGGGGCUAAUACCGGAUAGGAAUCCUUGCUGCAUGGUGGGGGUUGGAAAGCUUCUGCGGUUUUGGAUGGACUCGCUGCUUAUCAGCUUGUUGGUGGGGUAGUGGCUUACCAAGGCUUUGACGGGUAGCCGGCCUGAGAGGGCGACCGGCCAACUUGGGACUGAGAUACGGCCCAGACUCCUACGGGAGGCAGCAGUGGGGAAUAUUGCACAAUGGGCGGAAGCCUGAUGCAGCAACGCCGCGUGCGGGAUGACGGCCUUCGGGUUGUAAACCGCUUUCAGCAGGGGCGAAGCUUGUGGUGACGGUACCUGCAGAAGAAGCACCGGCUAACUACGUG